rfam:Picea glauca, whole genome shotgun sequence.
ACAUGCCUACAACAUAGCAUUAAUUCACUGGAUCCCAUUAGAACUCUGCAGUUAAGCGCACUCAUGCUAGAGUAGUACUGGGAUGGGUGACCACCCAGGAAGUGCUAGUAUUUUACAUGCC